GCCGGGCAUGGUGGCUCAUGCCUGUAAUCCCAGCACUUUGGGAGGCCGAGGCGGGUGGAUCACUUGAGGUCAGGAGUUCGAGACCAGCCUGGCCAACAUGGUGAAACCCUGUCUCUA
ensembl:misc_RNA Metazoa_SRP Metazoan signal recognition particle RNA